rnacentral:rRNA from 1 species
GUAGUCAUAUGCUUGUCUCAAAGAUUAAGCCAUGCAUGUCUAAGUAUAAAUAGUAUACAGUGAAACUGCGAAUGGCUCAUUAAAACAGUUAUAGUCUAUUUGAUAAUUGACAAUUACAUGGAUAACCGUGGUAAUUCUAGAGCUAAUACAUGCUUAAACGCCCGACUUUAUGGAAGGGUGGUAUUUAUAAGACUGAAGCCAAUAUUCCUUGUGUCUAUUGCGGUGAUUCAUAAUAACUGAUCGAAUCUCUUUUUGAGAUAAAUCAUUCAAGUUUCUGCCCUAUCAGCUUUCGAUGGUAGUGUAUUGGACUACCAUGGCAGUAACGGGUAACGAAGAAUUAGGGUUCGAUUUCGGAGAGGGAGCAUGAGAAACGGCUACCACAUCUAAGGAAGGCAGCAGGCGCGUAAAUUACCCAAUCCUGACUCAGGGAGGUAGUGACAAGAAAUAGCAAACCGGGAACCUUAUGGUUUCACGGUAUUGCAAUGAGAACAAUUUAAAACCCUUAGCGAGAAUCAAGUGGAGGACAAGUCUGGUGCCAGCACCCGCGGUAAUUCCAGCUCCACUAGCGUAUAUUAAAGUUGUUGCAGUUAAGAAGCUCGUAGUUGAACCUCUGUCUGGGGCUAGUUUUGGCUUUGGUCAGGCUAGUUCUAGGCAUCCGCCUACAAGACUUAGAGGGCAUUCAGUUGUUCACUAGGAGGAGUAGGCAUUUUACUUUGAAAAAAUUAGAGUGUUUAAGGCAGGCAAUCGCCCGCAUAUAUUAGCAUGGAAUAAUAGAAUAGGACACUUUUCCAUUUCGUUGGUUAUUGGAAUCGUGUAAUGAUUAAUAGGGACAGUUGUGGGCAUUUGUAUUUAAUUGUCAGAGGUGAAAUUCUUGGAUUUAUUAAAGACAAACUAACGCGAAAGCAUUUGCCAAGGAUGUUUUCAUUAAUCAAGAACGAAAGUUAGGGGAUCAAAGACGAUCAGAUACCGUCCUAGUCUUAACUAUAAACUAUUCCGACUCAAUGUUUGACUGGCUUAUAUAACCAGUUGAGCGUUGUAUGAGAAAUCAAAGUCUUUAGGUUCUGGGGGGAGUAUGGUUGCAAAGCUGAAACUUAAAGGAAUUGACGGAAGAGCACAACCAGGAGUGGAUUCUGCGGCUUAAUUUGACUCAACACGGGGAAACUUACCAGGUUAAAACAAUAGUGGGAUUGACAGUUUGAGAGCGCUUUCUUGAUUGGUUGGGUGGUGGUGCAUGGCCGUUCUUAGUUGGUGGAGUGAUUUGUCUGCUUAAUUGCGUUAACGAACGAGACCUUAACCUGCUUACUAGACUGCGACC